UUACCGGAAAACGCCCCGCCCCCUUGCGGCUACUCCAGCACAUGUCAAGGUCGUCCAGACGGUCGCUACCCCGCCCACACAAGGGGCUGCAGUUUCUUCUUCGAAUGUUACCACGGGGAGUUUCUCAGCUUGCGGCGCUGUACGGCGGACGAGGGAGGCUUCUUUUUCAACCCGGCCACUGGCUCAUGUGACUACCCUCAGAACAUCUGUCCGCCGUGUGGUUACAGAUGGUGGGGAUGUGCACGAACAUACCAGUUGUAGUAAUUAAGUAGACCAGUUCCCUGGAGUGUUCAGAAUGGAGUAUGCCAUCUUCGUCCGCUAGAUAGUCGUCAGAACAAUUUGAUGUCUCGAGACAAGAAAUCAUCAUCAUCAUCAUCAUCAUCAUCAUCAUCAUCAUCAUCACCAUCAUCAUCAUCAUCAUCAUUUCAUACAUUUCAUCUUUCCUUCACGUCUCACAUUCACUACCCUCCACUAUAAUAACGGUGGCUUCACUGUAUUCCGUAUUCUCAUCUGCCCUGCGGAGAGAGAGAGAGAGAGAGAGAGAAGACGGAUAAGAGAAGGAAUAGAACAUCUAAGACUGAGUAAAAAUAGACAUGUUUAAUCUGUCUGAAUAAGGAACAAAAACAUGACAACGAUCCCUAAACAGCGUGCAUGUAGACUGAGUCACAAUAGAAACAACAGAAUAUUCUAGAGAGUUGAAAGAUUCUUUUGUAAAGAGCUGAAGAAUGGAACGACAUUGACGAAUGGGGGGUGGGGGGUUACCAGUAUGACUGUAUAAAUUGUUUGACUGUAAUUUAUUCCAUAAAAAUAAAUGUAUAUUGUAUGUCAUUGUUCACAUCCUUGAACGAUGUACAUAUUAUUUCUUUAAGAAGAGCUCAUCAUCUCGUGUAUAAUUCGCAACUUAGAAAUGAGCAUUUAUGCAAUGUCACCCAUUUUAUUCACAUAUUUAUUUCAAAAGUUGAACUGAUAACGAUAUGUAGUCUGUUGUUAUCACUAAGUGUUCAUGCAUAUCAUUUAUCGAAAUUUUACGUAUGGCUUACAUGUGUGUGUGUGUGUGUGUGUGUGUGUGUGUGUGUGUGUGUGUGUGUGUGUGUGUUCAUAAUGUGUACGAUAUAGAUUACCGAGGCUGCCUGGUGCUGAAGAACCGUGACGACAAAAUGAAUGUGCCCUGAGUGAAUUUUGUCAAGAGCCUUUUGCUGACGCUGUUUGUAUCUGUUUGUUCAUCGUUUGGUGUCUUUUGGGGUAUGUCCAUGCGCGAGUUGUGUUCAUGCGUUCAUGUUCAUGUAUGCCUGUUAGUAUGUAUGUCCGUUUGUGUUUUAGAACUUACGAAAAAACAAACAGAUUUUGGUUCACGUUUUUCAAGAGGACGCAUAUAAUGAGUACUAGACUGAUAUUGUUUGAUUGUUCCCAAAUUCAUGUUUUUCUCCUCCUGUUUUCAUGAGUCCACAAACGUUUGCAAGUGAGAAAGCUUUAUGAGUAUGUGUGAGUGUUUCCUAAAGUUACGUUAUAAUCAAUCUUUUCCCAUUUUGUUUAUCAAGUUAUCAAUGUCAUUCCACAUGUGUGUACCUAUAUUGUAAAUAGCAUUGAAAAGUGUAGUUACAUAUGUGUCUGUUACAAAAUAUGUCCAAGAAUGUCCGAUGGCAGAGGGAGAUGUCUAAAAGAGAGUGAGAAUGGAGAAUGAGAGAGACAGCGAGAGAGAGAGAGUGAGAGAGAAAGAAGGAGAGAGAGAGAGAGAGAGAGAGAGAGAGAGAGAGAGAGAGAGAGAGAGAGAGAGAGAAGCUGAAUAAGUGAUUUCAUACAUAAAUGUUACGUACAUAAAGGCGUAAGAGUACUUAUUCAUGAUCUGAAAGUAAAACGCUUCCUGUAGAUAUUUUCAAUAAAUAAUAACUGUAUACUCGUAUAUUGUACAGAUUGAGGAACAUAUAAAUAAAAUUCACAAGAUAACAAACAA